GACGAACGCUGGCGGCGCGCUUAACACAUGCAAGUCGAGCGAAUAGGCGGACGGUUGAGUACCACGUGAGUAACCUGCCUUAGACCUUGGGAUAGCCUCGGUAAACCGGGAUUAUGACCAUAUGGGCUAAGAUGGACUCGCGUCCCAUUAGCUGGUUGGAGAGGUGACGGCCCACCAAGGCGACGAUGGGUAGCCGGCCUGGGAGGGUGAACGGCUACAGUGGAGCUGAGAAACGGUACAAACUCUACGGGAGGCAGCAGUGGGGAAGAAGGCACAGUGGAGGAAACUCUGGUGCAGCGACGCCGCGUAAUUC
rnacentral:rRNA from 1 species